UACGGGGGGGGGCAAGCGUUGUUCGGACUUACUGGGCGUAAAGGGCUCGUAGGCGGCCAACUAAGUCGGACGUGAAAUCCCCAGGCUCAACCUGGGAACUGCGUCCGAUACUGGAUGGCUUGAAUCCGGGAGAGGGAUGCAGAAUUCCAGGUGUAGCGGUGAAAUGCGUAGAUAUCAGGAGGAACACCGGUGGCGAAGGCGGUUCUCUGGGCAUUACCUGACGCUGAGGAGCGAAAGUGUGGGGAGCGAACAGG
rnacentral:rRNA from 1 species